UACGGAGGGUGCAAGCGUUAUCCGGAUUCACUGGGUUUAAGGGGUGCGUAGGUGGAGUGGUAAGUCAGUGGUGAAAUCUCCAAGCUUAACUUGGAAACUGCCGUUGAUACUAUCAUUCUUGAAUAUCGUGGAGGUAAGCGGAAUAUGUCAUGUAGCGGUGAAAUGCUUAGAUAUGACAUAGAACACCGAUUGCGAAGGCAGCUUGCUACACGAUCAUUGACACUGAGGCACGAAAGCGUGGGGAUCAAACAGG
rnacentral:rRNA from 1 species